CAGUAGCCGCGGUAAUACGAAGGGUGCAAGCGUUGUUCGGAAUUACUGGGCGUAAAGCGCACGUAGGCGGACAUUUAAGUCAGGGGUGAAAUCCCGGGGCUCAACCCCGGAACUGCCUUUGAUACUGGGUGUCUUGAGUGUGGAAGAGGUCAGUGGAAUUGCGAGUGUAGAGGUGAAAUUCGUAGAUAUUCGCAGGAACACCAGUGGCGAAGGCGGCUGACUGGUCCACAACUGACGCUGAGGUGCGAAAGCGUGGGGAGCAAACAGGAUUAGAUACCCCAGUAGUCCCUGUCUCUUAUAC
rnacentral:rRNA from 1 species